GACUUUCUUGCUAUUACCGUCUCUCUUUCUCUCUCUUUUAAUGGGUGUCUUAUCGUCCAUUUCUGAUGAAAUUUCUGUUCAUGCUUGCAUGGACGGACUGUUGUGCAUAACAUAGCUUGUGUUCAGAAGACAUACUGAACCUUUGUCUCUAUGUUCUUGCGGAGUUUAAAUCUUCCCGGUGGUACUAUGUUUAACUUGAUUGUUUGUUAUAUGGUGUCCAGGAUGAGGAGAAAGAGAACUCUGGCAUUCAGGAUGAGGAGGAAGAGAACUCUGGCGUUCAGGAGGAGGAGGAAGAGAACUCUGGCGUUCAGGACGAGGAGGAAGAGAACUCUGGCGUUCAGAAUGAGGAAGAGAACUCUGGCGUUCAGGAUGAAACAAGAGAGAACCCUGAAAGUCCACCACAGGAUCAGAAGGAAAUUGUAGCAACAAACCAUGAGUCUAACAUAGAAGAAAAUGGGGAUGGUGCCCAGGGUUCUCCAUGGAAUCAGUCUCCUGAGCAGAUUGCUUGCCAUAGUGAGAGCCAUGAGUUAAACCAUGUAGACCAUGAGUCUAACAUAAAAGAUGAUGGAGACUCUGACCCGGGCUCCCCAUGGAAUCAAUCACCUGAGCUGGUCAUUUGCCCUAGUGGGAGCCAUGAGUUAAACCACAUAGGUGUGGAUCCUGAAAAGGAUCACGUUGCCCAUAACUCAGAUAAUUCUUCGUCGGAUGUACGUGGGAACUCAGAGCAAAU
rnacentral:lncRNA from 1 species